rnacentral:rRNA from 1 species
GAUGAACGCUGGCGGCGUGCCUAAUACAUGCAAGUCGAGCGAACAGACGAGGAGCUUGCUCCUUUGACGUUAGCGGCGGACGGGUGAGUAACACGUAGGUAACCUACCUAUAAGACUGGGAUAACUUCGGGAAACCGGAGCUAAUACCGGAUAAUAUUUCGAACCGCAUGGUUCGAUAGUGAAAGAUGGCUUUGCUAUCACUUAUAGAUGGACCUGCGCCGUAUUAGCUAGUUGGUAAGGUAACGGCUUACCAAGGCAACGAUACGUAGCCGACCUGAGAGGGUGAUCGGCCACACUGGAACUGAGACACGGUCCAGACUCCUACGGGAGGCAGCAGUAGGGAAUCGGCCGCAAUGGGCGAAAGCCUGACGGAGCAACGCCGCGUGAGUGAUGAAGGUCUUCGGAUCGUAAAACUCUGUUAUUAGGGAAGAACAAACGUGUAAGUAACUGUGCACGUCUUGACGGUACCUAAUCAGAAAGCCACGGCUAACUACGUG